rnacentral:rRNA from 1 species
UGUGAACCAUACCAAACUGUUGCCUCGGCGGGGUCACGCCCCGGGUGCGUCGCAGCCCCGGAACCAGGCGCCCGCCGGAGGGACCAACCAAACUCUUUCUGUAGUCCCCUCGCGGACGUUAUUUCUUACAGCUCUGAGCAAAAAUUCAAAAUGAAUCAAAACUUUCAACAACGGAUCUCUUGGUUCUGGCAUCGAUGAAGAACGCAGCGAAAUGCGAUAAGUAAUGUGAAUUGCAGAAUUCAGUGAAUCAUCGAAUCUUUGAACGCACAUUGCGCCCGCCAGUAUUCUGGCGGGCAUGCCUGUCCGAGCGUCAUUUCAACCCUCGAACCCCUCCGGGGGGUCGGCGUUGGGGAUCGGGAACCCCUAAGACGGGAUCCCGGCCCCGAAAUACAGUGGCGGUCUCGCCGCAGCCUCUCCUGCGCAGUAGUUUGCACAACUCGCACCGGGAGCGCGGCGCGUCCACGUCCGUAAAACACCCAACUUUCUGAAAUGUUGACCUCGGAUCAGGUAGGAAUACCCGCUGAACUUAAGCAUAUCAAA